rnacentral:rRNA from 1 species
CCUACGGGAGGCAGCAGUGGGGAAUUUUCCGCAAUGGGCGAAAGCCUGACGGAGCAAUACCGCGUGAGGGAUGACGGCCUAUGGGUUGUAAACCUCUUUUUUCAGGGAGGAAUCAAAUGACGUGUACCUGAAGAAU